UUCUGCCAGCUUUAAAUAAUAACAUCUGAGCCUUCCUCCAGAAUACUGAACUGGGGCUGGGAGUUAACCUUCAGUGAAUGUCCUUAUAUACCAGAAAUUUGGGACAGUAUCAAUAAUCCCCCCUUAGAGAACGUGCAUAUCUCUUCUGAUGCAAGAACCUCAGAUUGCUGAUGCGAGAGACAGAAAUGCAAAGUAGUUUGCAAGAGGUGAAAUUAUUUCUAUUCUGUUUCCAAAAGCAGUGCAAGUAUAAUGUAUACCUUCAAAGAGUUGUUGUAGAUUCAGACCAUGUUUCCUUUAAGGGAGCUGUGUGUUUUUCUACAAGGUUCCUCAGAGCCCCUCUAGUAAGCUUUGGGGAAUCAUUGCAUUGCUAAAUCACUACAUUAGCCUGCUGCCUUCUGGAAAAUGCUGAUCCCAUUGCUUCUGUCAGCAGGAGAAGUUAGCCCUUGGGCUGGAACCAACCAUACUGAGAACUAACUGAGAGGUGGGGGAGGGUUGGGAAGCCCUUCAAAAGAAGUUCAGAUCUUCAGUGUAGGGGCAAACAAUCCUAGGAACUGCUGUACUAAAUAGAAAGCACCUGUUUUUAUCAUUGCUAUUCAUAAAGUAGCUUUUAAAAAAUGCAUUACAGUUUAUAAAGCUUCUCCCUAUCCCUUACCUCAUUUAGUAUCUUCUUCAAUACAGUGUGGCCUUAUUAUAUAAAAUGAUACAAACCAGCACAUUUGCAUCACCUGAAGCUUGUUAGAAAUGUCCCAUGUAGGCUUACUGAGCAAGCAUUCACGUUUAACAAGACCACUAGCCCCUUAAAGUUUGAGAACAUGGCUAUAAAGGCUACAGAACAAUAAUUUCUUCUGAUUACAGUAAGGAAAUAGAGAAUCAGCAUGAUUGGGUGCCUGAGCCAAGGUCACCCAUUUAGUAAGCAGUGAAGUCGGGCCUCAUACCCAAGCUUUGUGCCUCCUGGUCCAGCAGUCUCUUUGCUGCAGGCACUUCCCGCUCCACAAUCCCUUCAUAGCAUGCCUGCAAUGUACUAGCUUUUGAAAGAAAAACAACCCUUUUUCUCUGAACCCAGACUAUCACCUGCUCUUAUUUUCUCCACCAGCUGUUCUGGGCUCCUCCCUCAUCUGCUUGCUGAUUCUAGAAAUGCAAACACCCUGAAAAGCUCUGCAGCAUUGCCCACAUGGUGCCCUCAAUGAGUGAAUCUGAUAAGAAUUGCUAGCAUCAGUCACUUGCUCAGAGCUUCUCUGCAAAAGCCUUCUGGCCUCACUUAGAGGAAAGGGUACAAAUUCAGAACAAGACAACUGAGAUAACCCAGCUGGAACAUACUGGAGGGUACAAAUGGAUUUUUCCACUCUUGCUUACUGUUAGGAGAUAAUGACAAACAACAAAGCUGAGCAUAGCAUCACAGAAAAACACAUGUGCAGAGAGCUUCACAGCCCACCAUUCAACAGAAUCUUGCUCUGUCACCCACGUUAGUGUGCAGUAGCGAGAUCUCAGCUCAAUACAACCUCUGUCUCCUGGU